rnacentral:rRNA from 1 species
AUGGCGACCCCCCGCCGCCGCGAGCUCCCCCUGCCCGCGCUCGCCGCCUUCCUGCUGCUGCUCCUCCUCCUCGCCGGACGCGCGGCGGCCGACGACGCCUCCAGCGACGACCGCGGCCACGACGCCUCCCCCGGCUGCAACAACAAGUUCCAGCUGGUUAAGGUGAAGAACUGGGUGAACGGAACCCAGGGCACGACAGUUAUCGGACUGAGCGCGAGGUUCGGAUCCCCCUUGCCAAGAACUGUCGACGAGGCUCACAGAACAUUUGCUGCCCUCACCAGUCCUCCAGACUUGUGCUCGAACUCAACCUCAAAGUUAACGAAUUCUAUUGCCUUAGCGGCACGCGGAGGGUGUCCUUUCACCGCCAAGGCCGAGUUUGCGCAGGCUGCUGGCGCCGCUGGUUUGGUUAUUUUAAAUGACGAUGAAGAACUUUACAAGAUGGUUUGCGGUGACAAUGAUACUUCACUUAAUGUGACAAUUCCCGUCGUAAUGGUGCCACAUUCAGCAGGCAAGAAUCUGAAGGACUUACUGGAUCAUGGAGCAAGGGUGGAGAUGCAGUUAUAUUCGCCAAAUCGACCAGUUGUGGACCUUUCAGCAUGCUUCUUGUGGUUAAUGGCUGUAGGAACUAUAGUAUGUGCUUCACUCUGGAGUGAAUUCGUUGCAUGCGAACAGAUUGACGAGCAUUAUAAUCAGCUGACACGGCAGCCGGGACCUAAUUCUGGAACAAACAACACACAAGAUAAAGAAAUCCUUGAAAUCACAGCAAAGGGAGCUGGUGUUUUUGUCAUAGUAGCUUCAGUUUUCCUUCUCCUCCUGUUCUACUUCAUGUCGUCUUGGGUCGCCUGGCUACUGAUUGUAUUGUUCUGCAUUGGUGGUGUUGAGGGUAUGCAUGUUUGCUUGGUGACAAUUAUCUCUAGGAUUUUUAAGGGUUGGGGAAAUAAUACUGUACAAUUGCCAUUCUACGGGGAGGUCUUGGCCUUGUCUGUUGGAAUAGUACCAUCCUGUACGGUCUUUGCCAUUCUAUGGGCUGUAUAUCGGCAUUCUUCGUUUGCUUGGAUAGGCCAAGACAUCCUUGGUAUCUGCCUGAUGAUAACUGUGCUUCAGAUGGCGCACUUACCUAAUAUCAGGGUUGCAUCAGCUCUUCUUAGUGCUGCAUUUGUGUAUGACAUCUUCUGGGUCUUCAUUUCGCCUCUUAUAUUCCAUGAGAGUGUUAUGAUUGCAGUUGCUAGUGGAGACAGCUCAGGGGAAGCAAUUCCGAUGCUCCUAAGAAUACCUCGUUUCUUUGAUCCAUGGGGUGGCUAUGACAUGAUAGGCUUUGGCGAUAUUAUCUUCCCUGGAUUGCUCGUUGCAUUCAGCUACAGAUUUGAUAGGGCAGGCAAAAAGGGUAUCUUGAAUGGAUAUUUUCUGUGGCUGACUGUGGGAUAUGCUGUCGGACUUUUCCUUACCUAUCUUGCGCUUUUCCUGAUGGAUGGACAUGGUCAGCCGGCGCUGCUGUACCUGGUUCCUUGCACGUUAGGGGUUAUUGUGGUGCUUGGUUGGAUAAGAGGCGAACUGCCUCACUUGUGGAACUACGGAAGAAGACCGGAAAAUUCAGUCGGCGAAGUUUCAAUUGUAAUCUGA